rnacentral:snRNA from 1 species
CUUAUAAACAAGAUAGGGUAUUC